rnacentral:lncRNA from 1 species
CUUUCACUACCUAACUCUUAGUAUUUAUUCACAUUAAGCUUGGGCUAAAUAAGUGGCUGUUAAUAUUGGGCUUCCCGCUUUGGCCCAAUUCCCUGUCUGUCUCACGUGGCCCAGUCCACUCUUUUAUUAAUCUCUACUCUUACCUACCAUCGAUCACUUUCCCAUUUCAACCUACUUUGCCAAUUCAUAACAUCCCCCAUCCCUUAGAGAAUAUCAUUGUCCUCAAGGUCGAUGUUGAGCCACAAAAUUAGGAAAGUGAUGCUUGAUAUACCCCCAAUCUUUCCAUGUAGCAUCCUCCUCCCUAAGAUUUGCCCACUGAACCAACACUUUAACUCCCACGCCAUUAUCAAUCUUCACCAUUUUUUAUUGUAAUAUGGCCACUGGUUGAAUCAACACCCGACCGUUAGUAUCACACGAUGGUGGCUGAAGCUGAGGCUCGAUAGUUGGACCGAUUCUCUUAUUGAGUUGAGAGACGUGGAAGACUGGAUAAAUUUGAGAGCUUUCAGGAAGCUCUAAGAGGUAUUCUAAUGUUCCCACUUUCUUCAAUAUCUUAUAAGGACCAUAAUAACGAGAACACAACUUAACAUUUAUGCAAACCUCGAUCGAUGAUUGUCUAUACGGAUGUAGCUUAAGAUAGACUUUGUCCCCAACCACUAGGGUUCUUUCCGACCUAGAUCUGUCCACAAAGAAUUUCAUGUGUGACUGUGCUCGAGUUAGGUUGCCCUUAAGUGUCUGCAUCAUGUAUUGUCUUUGGGCUAGACUCACACUUGCCAUAGUCUGCCCAGAACUUGGUAAUGAUCCCAUUGGUAGCUAGGGUGGUGCAUACCCAUAUAAUGCUUCAAAAGGUGUGACCUUUAGAGCAAUGUGGUAGUUGGUGUUGUACCACACUCUUCCAUGUGAAGCCACUUAAUCCAUUGCUUAGGAUUAUCAAAAACCAUGGCCGUAAGUUUCCAUACACCCGUUGAGCCUCUCUGUUUGGCCAUCACUCUGAGGGUGAUAAGCUAAACACAAAUUGAGUUUGGUGUCAUGGAUCUGAAAAGGUACUGCCAAAAGUGACUAGUGAAAACUGGAUCCCUGUCAGACACUAAGGACCUAGGAAUACCAUGCACUCUAUAAAUUUCCUUGAGAAAUAAUUCUGCUACAUCCUGCGCUGUAAAGAGAUGUUUAAGAGGCAGAAAGUGACCAUACUUAGUGAAUCUAUCAACCACCACCAAAACUGCAUUCUUCUGAUUUGAAGUAGGUAAUCCUUCUACAAAAUCCAUAUAAAUGUCGUGCCAUGCUUGCUCAGGAAUAGGAAGAGGCUGUAGUAAUCCAGGAUAGUGAACAUUCUCUGAUUUCACCCUUUGACAUAUAUGACACUCACUGACCCAUUUACAACUGUCUGACUUCAUAUUUUGCCAAUAAAAAUUCAUCUGUAACCUCUUAUAAGUACCUUGUUGCCCUGAGUGACCUCCCAAUGGUGAUUGAUGCAAUGCUUCCCACUCUUCUUCUCAAUGUGUUACCCUUUCCUAUAUAUAUCUUUUGUUUGUACUUGAUUAUUCCCCAGUGUAGUGUGUAGUCAGAAUUACCAUGAGAUGUUCUUAUUAACUCAGCCAAUAGGUGAGUAGCCAAAGGAUCAUCUUCAUAGGAUUGGCUAACUUCUUCUAGCCAAGCAGGAUGUGUAGUGGAAAUAACCAAUAAGGUAGAAUUAGCAGUUUCUUCUUAUCUCCUGGAUAGAGCAUCAACUGCUAUAUUUUCAGAACCCUUUUUGUACUGAAUUUUAUGGUCAAGUCCCAAGAGCUUAGUGAGACCCUUCUGUUAUAGUACUGUGGUGACUUUAUGCUCUAGUAGGUAUUUUAGGCUUUCGGGAUCUGUUCUCACAAUGAAAUGAACACAUUAUAAGUAGUGUCUCUAUUUAUCCACUGCUGUUAAGACUGUCAUGUAAUUUUUUUCAUUGGUGGAUAGUCCCUUAUUCUUUGUGGACAAAGCCUUACUUAGAUAAUCUAUAGGUCUGCCCUCUUGCAUUAAAACAACUCCCAUUUCUGUAGAGCAUGUAUCAAUCUCUACAAUAAAAGGUUUGGUGAAGUCUUGCAAGGCUAAUACAGGUGCCGUGGACAUGGCUUCCUUCAGCUUCUGAAAGGACUCCUCUGCCUCCUCAUUCCAUUGGAAGGAACUUUUCUUAAGUAGGUUGAUCAGUGGUCUACUGAUGCCAUUGGACUUCACAAAUAUUCUAUAGUAGCAUGUAAGGCCCAGAAACCCCUUGAAUGACUUGGGGGCAGACCAAUUUAUCAUAGAGUCUAUCUUGGCAGGAUCAAUUGCUACUCCCUGACAAGAAAUAAUAUGGCUCAAAUACUCCACUUUAUCUUGUCCAAAGGCACACUUGGACAAUUUAGCAUAGAGUUUCUCCUUCUGUAAGACUUGUAGGACUUGUCUGAGGUGAUCUACAUGACUGCUCACUGUUGGACUGUAGACUAGUAUGUCAUCAAAGAAUACUAGGAUAAAUUUUCUUAGAAAAGGUCUGAAAACAUGGUUCAUCAGGCUCUGAAAGGUUGCACGAGCAUUUGUCAAGCCAAAUGGCAUGACUCUAAACUCAUAAUGGCCCAAAUGUAUCCUAAAUGUAGUUUUAUAAAUGACAAAACUCUCCAUUCUAAUUUGAUGAUACCUAGACCUUCGAUCAAUCUUGGAAUAUAUGUAGGAUCCAUUAAGUUCAUCCAUAAAAUUAUCUACUAAAGGAAUAGGAAAUUUAUCCUUUAUAGUCAUCUUAUUUAGCUCCCUAUAAUUAAUACAGAACCUCCAACUCCCAUCCUUCUUUUUAACUAGCAAUACAGGUGAGGAAAAAUGAAAAUGACUCGGCUGAAUAAUUUCACUACUUAACAUUUCAUUGUCUUGCUUUUCUAUUUUAUUUUUCUUGAAGUAAUUGUACCUAUUAGGUCUGAUACUCACUGUUGUUGCAUCAGGUUUAAGGGGGAUAAAAUGAUCAUGGCUUUUUUGUGGUGGCAAGGACUUUGGCUCUUCAAACACAUCUGAAAACUCCUCAAGUACUUCACUUAUUCUUUUAGGUAUGGCCACUUGUAUUUCAGUAACCUUAGUAGUAGUUGUAAAUAAAUGAGCCCGCCCGCAACACCUUCCCUUUUCUAAGAAGGUGCUUCACUCCACCAGCUGUCAUGCUAUGGAGCUUACCUUCCUCAGAAUAUCCCUUAAGGUCCACCCUUUUUACCUUCACAAUCACUUGUAGCCUGUAUUCAAUGAAAUCAAAUAGAAUGGGAUUAUGCUUCCUCAUCCAAUCCACUCCUAAGACCACAUCACACCCAUCAAUAUCCGGUAAUCUUAGCUUAUGUUCAAAGUAUAUCCAUUGAGUUUUCCAACUGAAUUGAGGACAAGAUUGGUAACUCAUUAGAUAGCCCUUAUUUAGCCACAACUACUCUCAUAGGUGUAUCAUCUUUAACUAUGCAUCCUAGGUAUUUUACAGUCUCACUAGCUAUAAAACUUUUGGUAUUUCCACUGUCUGCUAAGAUAUUUGGCAUCUUCUUCCCAUACACCCCUCUAAGCUUUAUGGUAGUAGAAGUUAUUGUGCCAGAAAGUGCAUUGGGACUGACGGCCUCAUCCAGUAUCUCCUUGAUGGUAGGCUAUAAUUCCAUAUUUUAUUCGCUUAUUCCACUCUACUUUACUGCACUUUACUUAUGUUGAGCUUUAAUUAUGCGUGUUUUGCACUUAUUAUGUGUUUUAUGCACUAUAGGAGUGAUUCCGAGCUAUGUAGAUGUUAUGGCAUGGAUUCAUGCUAUUUUGGAGUUUUGAAUUUGAGUAAUAACCCAAGGGUUAAGUUGGGAUCGUGUUCGGGGAUCAACGGAUGAUAGUGGAACGAAACGAAGAAUCGAGCAGGUAUAUUGCGCAGUGUCCAGUAAAAUACACAUAACGUUUUUCUCGGAACUCCAUUUGGGCUCCACAAUAUAUCGUUGGAAAUCUAUUUAAAAGGGCUACAAUCUUAAUGUUUUACACUUUACCAACGUAUAUUGCGUGAUCGUGCACUGGGUGCGCACUUAGGGCAGAAUGGUGUGCAAAGUGCCCGACCAGGUGCGCGGUCGCACAUGUCCUGUCUGGGAAAAGCCCUAUUUCGCUAAGAAAGGGUAGUUUUGUCCGGGAUUUAUUUUGGGGGCAGAUUAAAUACCCCAAAAUACCAUUUUGAGGGAGUUUUGGACAUACCUUAGACCUAGGGAAGCUUAGUAGAAGAAGGAGAAGCAAGAGCACAAGGAUUUCAUCCUUCCUUCCUCACUCAAAUCCGGGUUUGGAUUGUAUUUAUGUUUUCCUCUAUUUUUGUUUUAUUUGUGAAGAACUUCUCCAUGUCUAUGGAGCAGAACCAUUUGGGUUUUGAUGGAUUUUGUGUAUUGAUGGUUGUUUGUGGAUUAUAACUCUAUGUUUAUGUAUUUGAAUUAUUUUUGGAAGAUUUAAUUGUUGCAUCUAUGUUCAUUUGUUCUUGUAAUCGAAAGAGGCAUAACUUGUGAUAUAUUUGCACUAUGUUGUUGGUUGAGUUCAUAUAUUCUUCUAAGUAAUCGAAAAAAGCUAGUUAAAUCCUUGAAUAAACCUAGUUAGGAGGAUAAUCGAAAGAGGUUCUCCUAAAGACCAAUCCAUUACGAAUUCUUGCAUAUCUUCACCGAGCUUAAAUUGGUUCAUAUUGUGAGGUUGAAACUUAAUCGAGAGAGGAGUUUCUACUAAAUAUUUGUACUGAUAAUUAAGUGAAUUUGAGAGACUCACUUGAACAUUAGAAGUGAAUUAUCUAGAGUUAGAUCCCGAAUAAUUAUCUUGCACUUAUCCUAUCAACCUUUAUUUUCUCUCAUUGAUAACUUCCUUUCUUACCUUUGUUGAGAUUGUCAUUAGUCAAUAGUUUAGGUUCUUAUUUAGUUUCAAUUCUUAAUUGUAUAAAUCUUCAUUGUUGAUCCUCCUGGAUAGCAAUCUAUCUACAAACUAAGAUAUUACUGUUUAAAUCCAAUCCAUGUGGAGACAAUAAUUAUACUAUACUAUCUUUGACUAACGAGCAUAAUUUAAGUGUGUGCUUUGCGCUCGUCAAAUUUUAGCGUCGUUGUCGGGGAUUGGUAAUUAAUAGUGUUGGAAAUAGUUUGUAGUGCUAAUUCAGGAAUUUAUUUUUAUCUUUACUUUAUUUUUUUAGUUUUGUUAUGUUAACUUCUCUUCAAGAUUUCUUUUGUAGAAGAAAUCUUGAAAAACAUAUUCUUGUUACUGAACUCUAAAUGUUGUAAAGAUGGAGUACGACCAGCCUAAAAAACGGUUGAAGAGUUAGCAGCUGAACACUGUCGUCAGUCUGCUAUGUGUUUUAAAUGCGGUGGGAAUCAUCUAUGGGUUGAUUGUCAAGCAGGUAGGUAUUCUUCCUAUGGUUCAUCUUUUGAACACUCUCACUUCGUCUCUAGUCCGUACAUGUAUGAGGAUUCAUAUGGGUAAAUUCUAACUCUGGUUGGGAUGAAAACCCUUAUUUUGACUUGAAUACAAGCGAAGCGAGACACCCACCUCAAGAGGAGAAUGUUAGUUUAGAAGAGCUUAUGUAUAAGUUCAUUAAUAAGGUGGAUGAGAGGUUAAAGGAAGAGAAGUUCACACAUGAUGUUGAAGCCUCUAACAACCUGACAAUGCAAGUGGAUCAACUAAUAAGUAUACUUUUAGAAAGGUCAUUACAUUGUAAUGGUGAAUACAUGGAGGAGAUACCUUGUGAGAAUGAGCCUACCAUAAAUGAUGAACAUCUACAAAGAGAGUUGUCCACUCUGCAAGAGGACUCUGUUUCAACUGAAAUGAUUGAAAAUGAGGCUUUGGUUGAUUAUGAAGCAAUACAAGAAGAGUUCAAUCCUCUAUCCACAAUUGCAAUUUUUAGUAGAAGAUAAUGAGGAACAAAUGGUGUUGGAAUUUCCAGAGAAGUACUCACAUGACCUUUCCUCUUCAUUUUCUUACUCUAACCUUGAUCACGUGGAUUUUGUUUUGGGUGAUUUAUGGGAAUAAGCAGGGAUUGAUUUUGUAAAUGAAUGCAGAAUCAAGUUAAGGAUAAUCCUACAAGAAUAAUCCUUCGCUCAAAAUGAGGCCAAGAAAGAAAGAAAAGAGCGGGUCUUUCAAAAAUCCCUAAAGGACUUUGGCCUGAUGAGCUCCAUAAAGAAUCCCGAGGAGCGAAAUCAAAAAAUGUAUUGUGAAUUAGGGGUGGAGUUCACAAGUUCUCGGAAACGGAAAAAGUCCAGAGAAGUUUCCUUUACCUCUUGUUUUUUAUUUGUAUGUCAUGGGGAUAUUCCACAAUUUAAAGUGUGGGGGUGGGAUGUAAAUAUGUAAAUAACUGUUUGUUUGUGUUUCUUGUGUGUGUUUUCAGUUCUUUUGAUUGAAAUUUUUAAAGUCGAAAAAAAUAUAUAUAUUAUUUUCUUUGUGUCGCAGUUCUUUUUUAAGGGUUUUGUUUGAACCAGGUGUAGUUAGUUUUAUUUUCUUUUCUUUUAGGAGUAGGAGAUCUUGUGCUGUGAUUUUAAAUGCAAGCAAUAUCUCUUGACUGCAUUAUUCCUUAAGAAUAGUAAUUACUUUAGUUGUGACGCUUAAGCUCAGUUUUUGACUCUUGUAUAAGCACCUUAAAUUGUAUGAUCUUAACUUUGCUUAACAACUUUGAUUAGAGUGUCUUGAUGAGUCCGAUAUUGAGUGAGUCUUGUGCCAUGUGUGUGAUAUUUUGCGUAUUCUGUGCAUUACAUUUGAUGUCUAGAACUUGCCCCGUAUGUUUGCAAAGCGAAAUAGUAGUUUCAUUCAGUCUCGGAAGUGAUAUAGACAUUUUUUCGUUGAGCCAGUUAUAUGUUGUACCCACCUAAUUGUUAUGUAUCUUAGUUAACCCCGUUGAUCCUGGAAUCAUGUUUCUUUGGCAACCACACUGCAAGCCUUACCCAUUUGUUUGAAUUGACCAUCUAAUCGAAUCAUUUACCUCUCGCGAGCACUUGAAAUUGUAUGAACUUUGUAAAAGUUGAAGUGUGGGGUGGUUGGUUUGGUUUUUGAGUGGAAUUAUUGAACUAAGGAGAAAUGUGCACUAUUUUGAAAAAGAAAAAGCCACUUGAAUUGAAAAAGAAAGAAACAAAAUAAGUGUAUGAUUGAGAAAAAAAAUCAUUGAUAGUGAUAACUCUUAAUGUAUUUGUGCUUAAAGAAGUGGGGAGUUGACAUAUAUUGAUGUAAAUGUGGAGUUAUGGUUUGACAUAGUAUGGGGUUUUGAAUGGUUAAUUGUAUGUAUUAAAGUACGUAGGGAGGUGUAGUUAAUAUAUUCAAACAUAUCCUACCCGUUCCGCAGCCUACAUUACAACCAAAUAAAGCCUUACUUGAUCCUUGACUGAAUGAUCUCAAUUAGUAGAGUAGUACAUUACGGGCAAGAUUAUGGUACAUCUUUUGUGGAAUAUGAAUGUUGUUUCUGAGAGUGAGCUAAUUAUUCCUAUCUUAAGUUCCUAAUUGUUCUUAAACUUUAUCGUUUGUGGAACUACUCUCUAUUCUUGUGUGAGAGAACUUGAUUCAUGAAGGAAGGGUAAUGUCAUUGAGCUUUGUGUUAGAGUGAGCAAGUUGUGAAAAAUGCGUGGUGCUCUUGAGUCAAAUCUUGAGGCGAGGAUGUUACGGUAUUGUGCAUAAUUUGUUUUAUUAUUCUUGGUGUGAUGAGUUAGGAGAGUUGUUUAAAAAUAUCAUGUCUAUGUGAAGUGUAGUUUUAUUGCUCGAGGACUAGCAACGGUUUAUAUGUGGGGUGUUGAUGGCAGGCUAUAAUCCCGUAUUUUAGUCACUUAUUGCACUCUAAUUUACUGCACUUUACUUAUGUUGAGCUUUAAUUAUGCAUUUUUUGCACUUAUUAUAUGUUUUAUGUACUAUAGGAGUGAUUUCGAGCUAUGUAGAUGUUGUGGUAUGAAUUCAUGCUAUUUGGAUCUUUGAAAUUUAAGUAAAAGCCCAAGGGUUAAGUUGGGAUCGUGUUCGGGGAUCAACAGAUGAUAGUGGAAUGAAAUGAAGAAUCGAGCAGGUAUAUUGUGCAGUGUCCAGUAAAAUGCACAUAACAUUUCGCUCGGAACUCUAUUUAGGCUCUAACAUAUAUCGUUGGAAAUUUAUUUAAAAGGGCUUCAACUUUUAUGUUUUACACUUUCCCAAAUUCCUAACGUAUACAACCCAGGUGCACAACCAAGUGCACGAUCGCGUACUGGGCGCGCACUUGGGGCGGAAUCGUGUGCAAAGUGCGUGACCAGGUGCGCGGUCGCGCAUGUCCUGUCCGAGAAAAGCCCUAUUUUUCUAAGAGAGGGUAGUUUCGUCCGGAUUUUUUUUGGGGGCGGAUUAAAUACCCCAAAACACCAUUUUUGAGGGGCUAUUGGACAUACCUUAGACCUAGGGAAGCUUAGGAGAAGAAGGAGAAGCAAGAGAACGAAGAUUUCAUCCUUCCUUCCUCACUCAAAUCCGAGUUUGGAUUGUAUUUAUAUUUUUCUCUAUUUUUGUUUCAUUUGUGAAGAACUCCUCUAUAUCUAUGGAGUAGAGCCAUUUGGGUUUUGAUGGAUUUGGUGUAUUGAUGGUCGUUUGUGGAUUAUAACUCUAUGUUUAUGUAUUUGAAUCAUUUUUGAAAGAUUUAAUUGUUGCAUCUAUAUUCACUUGUUCUUGUAAUCGAAAGAGGCAUAACUUGUGAUAUAUUUACACUAUNNNNNNNNNNNNNNNNNNNNNNNNNNNNNNNNNNNNNNNNNNNNNNNNNNNNNNNNNNNNNNNNNNNNNNNNNNNNNNNNNNNNNNNNNNNNNNNNNNNNNNNNNNNNNNNNNNNNNNNNNNNNNNNNNNNNNNNNNNNNNNNNNNNNNNNNNNNNNNNNNNNNNNNNNNNNNNNNNNNNNNNNNNNNNNNNNNNNNNNNNNNNNNNNNNNNNNNNNNNNNNNNNNNNNNNNNNNNNNNNNNNNNNNGAAUUCUUACAUAUCUUCAUCGAGCUUAAAUUGGUUUAUAUUUUGAGGUUGAAACUUAAUCGAGAGAGUAGUUUCUACUAAACAUUUGUACUGAUAAUUAAGUGAAUUCGAGAGACUCACUUGAACAUUAAAAGUGAAUUAUCUAGAGUUAGAUCCCGAACAAUUAUCUUGCACUUAUCCUAUCAACCCAUAUUUUCUCCCAUUGAUAACUUCCUUGCUUACCUUUGUUGAGAUUGUCAUUAGUCAAUACUUUAGGUUCUUAUUUAGUUUCAAUUCUUAAUUAUAUAAAUCUUCAUUGUUGAUCCUCCUGGAUAGCAAUCUAGCUACAAACUAAGAUAAUACUAUUUAAAUCCAAUCCCUGUGGAUACGAUAAUUAUACUAUAUUAUCUUUGACUAGCGAGCUUAAUUUAAGUAUGUGCUUUGCGCUCGUCACUCCUCUACCAUUCCAAUAGGCAUAGCCUCUCCUUCUGCAUUCAACUCUAUUAUUUCUUCCUCCUGUUCAAUACUUCCAGACAGUGUGUUUAGUUAUCUAUUCUUGCACACAUGACCUGGAAAGUAUUUUCCCCCACAUUUUAACAUUCACCCAUUGCCUUCCUAGCUGCAAACAAUUUAGUCUCUGACAUAGUUGUAUUAGUACCUUCUUUUUGUAAGUUUCCCAAGGAUUUGUUCCCUGAUGGUAGAUUAGACCCUUUGUACUGCCCUACACUCCUGACUCCAUUGAAUCUACUCUUCUUGGCCAUGGUAUCAAUCAAGUUCUCCUCGUGCCUAGCCUUCUCCACAGCAUGGCUUAAGGAAUAAGGGUCAAACAUAUUCACAGUGCGUCUAAUUUCCUCUUUUAAGCCUUCAAUGAAAAAACCUAGGAAAAAUUUCUCAGGUAUAGUUGGGUAUUUUAUCAACACCCAGGCCUUCAAAUCUUCAAACUUCUUAAGAUAUUCAUUGGCAGUCCCCUUUUGUUUCACCUUUUUGAAUUCCCCCAACAACUCCAGGUUACUAUUAUCAGAUUCAUUGAAUCUUUUGCAGAUUUCUUCAAUAAAAUCUGACCACCUCAAAAUUCCUCUACUCAAUUGAUAGAAAAAGUACCAAGACUCAGCCCUCCCAUUUAAAUGAAGCACAACUGAUUCUGAUUUGUGUUGUGGGUCUGUAAUAUGAUUGUAAUAGAAAUACCUUUCAUAUUUGUGUAGCCAUGAUCGAGGAUCUCCUUCCUCAAAAGUAAGGGAACUCCACUCUAUAAGUAAAGUUGCUCGCUAAAUUUCUCCCAGUGUGCUGCCCAUGUGGGUCUGCCAUUCUCUGCUUCCAAAACCUUCCAAGUGAAGACUUUCAGUUGGUGCGCUCCCUAGAAUGCCAUCCAUGUAGGCGGAGAUCUUCUCCAUCAUCACAUCAAAUUUUUGAUUCAGAUCAUCCAUUUUCGAGUCAUCAGACUCCAAUUUUUUGUUUGUUUCAGUCAUGUAGUUCUGUAACUGAUUUUUCAAUUUCUUGACAUUUUCUAUAGUGGUUUUAGCUCGAGUUUCUGUAAUCAUUAUGGCGCCAGGAGAAUGCUCUGGUACCAAAUUGUUAUGGCUUGAAUCAAUUAAGCAAUUAAUCAAACAAUUAGGAGAAUCAAAAAUGAAAACUGGAACUCUUUAUUCAAUAUCAAUGGAAAGUAUUCACCAUUAUUACUUGUAGUCACUAAAAAUGAAGAAUGAGAAUUAGGAGAAUUGGAGAAGAAGAAGAAGAAUCUAGAAGAAGAGAGAAGAGAGAAAGUGGUUAGAAACGUAACAAUAUUAACAAAAUAAUUGCCUCCCUUUCACUACCUAACUCUUAGUAUUUAUUCACAUUAAGCUUGGGCUGAAUAAGUGGCUUAAUAUUAGGCUUCCCGCUUUGGCCCAAUUCCCUGUCCGUCCCACGUGGUCCAGUCCACUCUUUUAUUAAUCUCUACUCUUACUUACCACCGAUCACUUUUCUAUUUCAACCUACUUUUCC